rnacentral:misc_RNA from 1 species
CCUCUCUCCGCUCCUGAUGCCGCUCUUGCUUUCCUUUUCACCACCCUUCCCGCCUACAGCCCACUAAGCACUCAAGCCGAAAACCCCCUCUGCCCUUGACUUCGCGGUGACAGGGGCACAGGGAGAGAUGUACGCGCUCGCAUGCAUGCUUCCUUCUCACGAGUAGCAUGGGCGGCUCCAUUGGCAAGGCGCGCUUCUCACUCUCCGCUUCCUCCACCACAGGGGAUGAGAUGGAGGGGCAGGGGUGGCGGAGACGCACCUUGUGCGGCGCCACAAAUCUACCGCGAGUGAACAAGAGCAAGGCAGCGAUGGGGUCUGGUAUCACCCCCGCCGCUACCCGAGCUUCCCAGAGGCGUGACAGUGGCAGCUCCGACACCUGAAGCGGCACAUUGCGCCGCCGUACGGCAGGAACCUGCGCUUCCCGUGGCGCCCCACCGCACUGCACUACCUCGGCGCGCUCCGACCGAGAGGGUGGCGUUGUAGGAGAGCCACAUCAAGGCUCGCCUCGACACACUGAAAGGGAGGAGAAGGGGGGAAGGCACUGGAGGCGGGUUUUGUGGUUUUCUCCACCGUCUACACGUCGGAAUGUGGUGGUGGUGGUGGGGUGGGGGGGGCGGAGAGGCAACGGCCCGAGCUCGCGCCGUUUGCUGCCCUCGCGCGGCAGUUUCAGGACGCCAAUGUGACUCCAUCGUUCCAGCAGAUCGUGGACAUGAACUGGGCCUCCUGGACCCAGCAGCUCUUUGAAUUCCUCGAGGCGAAGACCGGCGCCUGCGGUGGGCUGCUUCACAUGUGCUUCUUCUGCUAUCCCGCUACCGUUUCGUACGGGAUGGUAUCUGACAGCACCUCGAAGAUCAGCGGCGGGUCUCGUAUGACUGCUCAAGGGCUGGCUGGCAACCUGCACAAGGAGGAUGUGGCCGUGCACCUUAAUGAGGUGCAUAGGCUCAAUGCCCCGGAGCCGGACGUACGGAAGUGUACGCCGGCGGCGUGGCCCGCCUACGAAGAGUAGCCGCUUGCGGGGUAGCGGGGCGGCGGCCGGAGCUGCCCUCUCUCAUGGCGGAUGGACCUCUGCAGAAUGUACGUAUGCGCGCAGAGGAGAAAGCACCACAAGCCUUGCUCUUUCUCUAUUCCUUUUCUCGGUAACGGCCGGCCCCCUCUGCGGAGUUCGCUCUGACAUGAACAUCAUUGCAAUGUGCAGCGUCGCCGGUGCGCGUCGGUGUGCUGUGCUGCCGUCGCCGAGGCGUGCAUUUACGUCUCCUUGUGCGUGUGGUGGUGGGGGCGGCGGUGGUGUGCAGAGCUUCGCGGCUCCCGUUUUUCCGCCUGCUUGCGAGAUGUUUCUCUCUCCCGUAUAUGUUGUCUUGGCUUUGCCUGCUUACUUGUCAGGCGGCUUCAUCUGUCUGCUACUCGAACCGUUCGUCAUCGCAGAGUCUUUCGCCGUGUUUCGAUGUUUUGUGGGCACGGAGGCCCUGACUCUGUCGUGGGUUUCACUGCGUCUUUUCGGUUUUCCGUUGGUAUGAUGUGGCGCUCUGAGCUUCUCCGUCUCCGGUGGUGGGGUGAGGGAGGAACAGGCGAAAGAAAGAGAGAGGCACAGACUAUGCAUCUGAGCGUGCGUGUCUGUGUGGCUGUCUGUCUGUCCCCCACCUCUCCCCCUGCGCAUGUCGUUCUAUCAAGGGAGAGAGGGUGGGGUGGGUGGGGCUUCGCGCUGUCUGCAGCGUCUUCUUCUUGUUCGUGUGUUUCGUGUUUUUGUGCUUGCCCCUCCCUCCUUGUCUUUUCCCCUGCUACCCGUUCAUGACGGGAGCGCAGGAGGAGGAUCAGGAACGCCAGCGUACCCCCGAACAAUCGAUGUGCACGCGCGUGCGUACGUGUGCACGAGCUGCUUCGCGCGACUGCGUGGUGGUGUGCUCUGUACCCUCUGGACACCCUUCCCACCAAGAAGAAAAAAAGGACAAGACAUUCAUGAUUCUCUCACGAUGUGCAUGCGUGCCCCCCAGAUGCUUUCCAAACCUGCGUCUGCCUGCAUCUCUCUCCCGCUCCAUCAUGUCGCCACGCGCGUUGGGAUACACCCAACAAACCGCGGCAGACG